UACGUAGGGUGCAGGCGUUAAUCGGAAUUACUGGGCGUAAAGCGUGCGCAGGCGGUUUGCUAAGACAGGUGUGAAAUCCCCGGGCUUAACCUGGGAACUGCGCUUGUAACUGGCAAGCUAGAGUGUGGCAGAGGGGGGUGGAAUUCCACGUGUAGCAGUGAAAUGCGUAGAGAUGUGGAGGAACACCGAUGGCGAAGGCAGCCCCCUGGGCUAACACUGGACGCUCAUGCACGAAAGCGU
rnacentral:rRNA from 1 species